rnacentral:rRNA from 1 species
GCGCGAAAACUUUACAAUGCGGGAAACCGUGAUAAGGGAACUCCGAGUGCCCGUAAAAUCGGGCUGUCCAUCUGUUUAAAUAACAGGUGAAGAAAGGGCCGGGCAAGACCGGUGCCAGCCGCCGCGGUAAUACCGGCGGCUCGAGUGGUGGCCACUAUUACUGGGCUUAAAGCGUUCGUAGCUGGUCUGUUAAGUCUCUGGGGAAAUCUACUGGCUUAACCAAUAGGCGUCUCAGGGAUACUGGCAGACUAGGGACCGGGAGAGGUGAGAGGUACUCCAGGGGUAGGAGUGAAAUCCUGUAAUCCUUGGGGGACCACCUGUGGCGAAGGCGUCUCACCAGAACGGCUCCGACAGUGAGGGACGAAAGCUGGGGGAGCAAACCGG